rnacentral:lncRNA from 1 species
CACUUUAGCUAUAUAGGAAAAAAAUGUCAAAACUCUUUACUCGAGUAGGGUGCUGAAAUCAAACUAAUGAUAUUUGUCCUGCCACUUUCUUUUGUUCGGUCUUCAGAAGAAAAAUCGAUAUGAAAUCUGAUAGGGACCACCCCAGAUCAAGGACACGUAGAAACUCAUUACAUCACAGGGAGGACGUCAGCUGAAAGGAAUCCCAACCUCAUGCGGGCGCGUAAAGCAAAGUCCACGGAAAGUCAUCAUCUGCGGGAGAGAAAAGAGAAUAUUCUCCUUGACACGUGUAACCGAGAGAGGUCCAGGAGCGAGGAUGAAGAACUAUAAAUAAGAAAGAGAAAUGACAUUACGAGGCACGCACUAAACUAGUAAAAGAGAUUGAAAUAAGAGAGUUACUGGUUAUCACGCCGGAGAUGCCUUAGCCUUACGGCCACCACCCCCGGCUAGGCAUUGUUUUGCAGGUUACCCCACAUACAGUUCACGUACAGCUCGCCACCGUAGAAAACAAAGGACGCAUUCAGUGACACCUGGCAGGAGGCAUUUUGAGUCUUAUCAUUUGGCGCGCCAGGAAGGGGUGGUUGCAUGAAAUUCAUCCCCUGACCUCUCGAGCUCGACCACUGAGAGAAAAACAAU